rnacentral:rRNA from 1 species
GAUGAACGCUGGCGGCACGCCUAACACAUGCAAGUCGAACGAUUACAGCACGUUCGGGUGUGUUUCACGUAGCGGAGGGGUGCGUAACAGGUGUGCAACCUACCCCUCUCAUUGGGGUAGCCACGCGACAGCAUGGGGAAUACCGAAUACUUCAGCACUUCAGCAUGGAAGACUCGAGCAAGCUCCGGCGGUGCGAGAUGGGCUGGCGGCUUGUUAGUUUGUUGGGGGGGGAAUGGCGUCCCAAGGCAAUGAUGGGUACGUGGGUUGGGAGACGGAUCAGGGACAAGGGGACUGAGAGAGGGAGCAGUCGCCUACGGGAGGCAGCAGGGGGGAACCUUGCGCAGUGAGCGAGAGCCUGAUGCAGCGACGUCGCGUGCGGGAUGAAGGCCUUCGGGUUGGAAACCGCUUUCAGCAGGGACGAGGCGAAAGUGACGGUACCUGCAGAAGAAGCACCGGCUAACUACGUG